AACGAACGCUGGCGGCAUGCCUAACACAUGCAAGUCGAACGAGACCUUCGGGUCUAGUGGCGCACGGGUGCGUAACGCGUGGGAACCUGCCCUUAGGUUCGGAAUAACUCCCCGAAAGGGGUGCUAAUACCGGAUAAUGUCUUCGGACCAAAGAUUUAUCGCCUUUGGAUGGGCCCGCGUUGGAUUAGCUAGUUGGUAGGGUAAAAGCCUACCAAGGCGACGAUCCAUAGCUGGUCUGAGAGGAUGAUCAGCCACACUGGGACUGAGACACGGCCCAGACUCCUACGAGAGGCAGCAGUGGGGAAUAUUGGACAAUGGGCGAAAGCCUGAUCCAGCAAUGCCGCGUGAGUGAUGAAGGCCUUAGGGUUGUAAAGCUCUUGUACCCGGGAUGAUAAUGACAGUACCGGGAGAAUAAGCUCCGGCUAACUCCGUG
rnacentral:rRNA from 1 species